GACGAACGCUGGCGGCGUGCUUAACACAUGCAAGUCGAACGGAAAGGCCCUGCUUUUGUGGGGUGCUCGAGUGGCGAACGGGUGAGUAACACGUGAGUAACCUGCCCUUGACUUUGGGAUAACUUCAGGAAACUGGGGCUAAUACCGGAUAGGAGCUCCUGCUGCGUGGUGGGGGUUGGAAAGUUUCGGCGGUUGGGGAUGGACUCGCGGCUUAUCAGCUUGUUGGUGGGGUAGUGGCUUACCAAGGCUUUGACGGGUAGCCGGCCUGAGAGGGUGACCGGCCACAUUGGGACUGAGAUACGGCCCAGACUCCUACGGGAGGCAGCAGUGGGGAAUAUUGCACAAUGGGCGGAAGCCUGAUGCAGCAACGCCGCGUGCGGGAUGACGGCCUUCGGGUUGUAAACCGCUUUCGCCUGUGACGAAGCGUGAGUGACGGUAAUGGGUAAAGAAGCACCGGCUAACUACGUGCCAGCAGCCGCGGUGAUACGUAGGGUGCGAGCGUUGUCCGGAUUUAUUGGGCGUAAAGGGCUCGUAGGUGGUUGAUCGCGUCGGAAGUGUAAUCUUGGGGCUUAACCCUGAGCGUGCUUUCGAUACGGGUUGACUUGAGGAAGGUAGGGGAGAAUGGAAUUCCUGGUGGAGCGGUGGAAUGCGCAGAUAUCAGGAGGAACACCAGUGGCGAAGGCGGUUCUCUGGGCCUUUCCUGACGCUGAGGAGCGAAAGCGUGGGGAGCGAACAGGCUUAGAUACCCUGGUAGUCCACGCUGUAAACGGUGGGUACUAGGUGUGGGGUCCAUUCCACGGGUUCCGUGCCGUAGCUAACGCUUUAAGUACCCCGCCUGGGGAGUACGGCCGCAAGGCUAAAACUCAAAGGAAUUGACGGGGCCCCGCACAAGCGGCGGAGCAUGCGGAUUAAUUCGAUGCAACGCGUAGAACCUUACCUGGGUUUGACAUGGAUCGGGAGUGCUCAGAGAUGGGUGUGCCUCUUUUGGGGUCGGUUCACAGGUGGUGCAUGCCUGUCGUCAGCUCGUGUCGUGAGAUGUUGGGUUAAGUCCCGCAACGAGCGCAACCCUUGUUCACUGUUGCCAGCACGUUAUGGUGGGGACUCAGUGGAGACCGCCGGGGUCAACUCGGAGGAAGGUGGGGAUGACGUCAAGUCCUCAUGCCCCUUAUGUCCAGGGCUUCACGCAUGCUACAAUGGCUGGUACAGAGAGUGGCGAGCCUGUGAGGGUGAGCGAAUCUCGGAAAGCCGGUCUCAGUUCGGAUUGGGGUCUGCAACUCGACCUCAUGAAGUCGGAGUCGCUAGUAAUCGCAAAUCAGCAACGCUGCGGUGAAUACGUUCCCGGGGCU
rnacentral:rRNA from 1 species